ACUCCUACGGGAGGCAGCAGUGGGGAAUAUUGCACAAUGGGGGAAACCCUGAUGCAGCCAUGCCGCGUGUGUGAAGAAGGCCUUCGGGUUGUAAAGCACUUUCAGUAGGGAGGAAGGUAGUGUAGUUACACCUGCGCAUUAUUUGACGUUACCUACAGAAGAAGCACCGGCUAACUCCGUGCCAGCAGCCGCGGUAAUACGGAGGGUGCGAGCGUUAAUCGGAAUUACUGGGCGUAAAGCGCAUGCAGGCGGCCUGUUAAGUCAGAUGUGAAAGCCCGGGGCUUAACCUCGGAAUUGCAUUGAACUUGGACGG
rnacentral:rRNA from 1 species